rnacentral:tRNA from 1 species
AUUAGUUUGGCAGAUUAGUGCCAUGAAUUUAGAAUUCAUAUAUAUAUAUAAGUUAUAUAACUAAUA